rnacentral:rRNA from 1 species
CCUAAUACAUGCAAGUCGAGCGGACCCUUCGGGGUGAGCGGCGGACGGGUGAGUAACGCGUGGGUAACCUGCCCUGUACACACGGAUAACAUACCGAAAGGUAUGCUAAUACGGGAUAACAUAUGAGAGUCGCAUGGCUUUUGUAUCAAAGCUUCGGCGGUACAGGAUGGACCCGCGUCUGAUUAGCUAGUUGGUAAGGUAACGGCUUACCAAGGCAACGAUCAGUAGCCGACCUGAGAGGGUGAUCGGCCACAUUGGAACUGAGACACGGUCCAAACUCCUACGGGAGGCAGCAGUGGGGAAUAUUGCACAAUGGGCGAAAGCCUGAUGCAGCAACGCCGCGUGAGCGAUGAAGGCCUUCGGGUCGUAAAGCUCUGUCCUCAAGGAAGAUAAUGACGGUACUUGAGGAGGAAGCCCCGGCUAACUACGUGCCAGCAGCCGCGGUAAUACGUAGGGGGCUAGCGUUAUCCGGAAUUACUGGGCGUAAAGGGUGCGUAGGCGGUCUUUCAAGCCAGAAGUGAAAGGCUACGGCUCAACCGUAGUAAGCUUUUGGAACUGUAGGACUUGAGUGCAGGAGAGGAGAGUGGAAUUCCUAGUGUAGCGGUGAAAUGCGUAGAUAUUAGGAGGAACACCAGUAGCGAAGGCGGCUCUCUGGACUGUAACUGACGCUGAGGCACGAAAGCGUGGGGAGCAAACAGGAUUAGAUACCCUGGUAGUCCACGCCGUAAACGAUGAGUACUAGGUGUCGGGGGUUACCCCCCUCGGUGCCGCAGCUAACGCAUUAAGUACUCCGCCUGGGAAGUACGCUCGCAAGAGUGAACUCAAAGGAAUUGACGGGGACCCCGCACAAGUAGCGGAGCAUGUGGUUUAAUUCGAAGCAACGCGAAGAACCUUACCUAAGCUUGACAUCCCACUGACCUCUCCCUAAUCGGAGAUUUCCCUUCGGGGACAGUGGUGACAGGUGGUGCAUGCUUGUCGUCAGCUCGUGUCGUGAGAUGUUGGGUUAAGUCCCGCAACGAGCGCAACCCUUGCCUUUAGUUGCCAGCAUUAAGUUGGGCACUCUAGAGGGACUGCCGAGGAUAACUCGGAGGAAGGUGGGGAUGACGUCAAAUCAUCAUGCCCCUUAUGCUUAGGGCUACACACGUGCUACAAUGGGUGGUACAGAGGGUUGCCAAGCCGUGAGGUGGAGCUAAUCCCUUAAAGCCAUUCUCAGUUCGGAUUGUAGGCUGAAACUCGCCUACAUGAAGCUGGAGUUACUAGUAAUCGCAGAUCAGAAUGCUGCGGUGAAUGCGUUCCCGGGUCUUGUACACACCGCCCGUCACACCAUGGGAGUUGGGGGCGCCCGAAGCCGGUUAGCUAACCUUUUAGGAAGCGGCCGUCGAAGGUGAAACCAAUGANCUGGGGUGAAGUCGUAA